rnacentral:rRNA from 1 species
UGGCUCAGGACGAACGCUGGCGGCGUGCCUAAUACAUGCAAGUCGAACGCUUCUUUUUCCACCGGAGCUUGCUCCACCGGAAAAAGAGGAGUGGCGAACGGGUGAGUAACACGUGGGUAACCUACCCUCAAGCGGGGGAUAACACUUGGAAACAGGUGCUAAUACCGCAUAACAAUACCAAACACAUGUUUAGUAUUUGAAAGGCGCUUUUGCGUCACUUGAGGAUGGACCCGCGGUGCAUUAGCUAGUUGGUGAGGUAACGGCUCACCAAGGCCACGAUGCAUAGCCGACCUGAGAGGGUGAUCGGCCACACUGGGACUGAGACACGGCCCAGACUCCUACGGGAGGCAGCAGUAGGGAAUCUUCGGCAAUGGACGAAAGUCUGACCGAGCAACGCCGCGUGAGUGAAGAAGGUUUUCGGAUCGUAAAACUCUGUUGUUAGAGAAGAACAAGGAUGAGAGUAAAAUGUUCAUCCCUUGACGGUAUCUAACCAGAAAGCCACGGCUAACUACGUGCCAGCAGCCGCGGUAAUACGUAGGUGGCAAGCGUUGUCCGGAUUUAUUGGGCGUAAAGCGAGCGCAGGCGGUUUCUUAAGUCUGAUGUGAAAGCCCCCGGCUCAACCGGGGAGGGUCAUUGGAAACUGGGAGACUUGAGUGCAGAAGAGGAGAGUGGAAUUCCAUGUGUAGCGGUGAAAUGCGUAGAUAUAUGGAGGAACACCAGUGGCGAAGGCGGCUCUCUGGUCUGUAACUGACGCUGAGGCUCG